rnacentral:rRNA from 1 species
GCAUCAUCGACCGAUCCUGAAGUCUUCGGAUGGAUUUGAGUAAGAGCAUAACUGUUCGGACCCGAAAGAUGGUGAACUAUGCGUGGAUAGGGUGAAGCCAGAGGAAACUCUGGUGGAGGCUCGCAGCGGUUCUGACGUGCAAAUCGAUCGUCAAAUCUGCGCAUGGGGGCGAAAGACUAAUCGAACCAUUAACGGAGAGACCAGCGGUAAAUAAUUAUUUACUAGGUGGUUAAUAGGCUUCUUGCGAGAGGAAGCCUAGGUCGGACUUACCCGGGAUGAACCGGGUAACCCUUACCCGGGACCUACCCGGUAGCUCCCUACCCGGGAGUUACCCUGUAGUACCGGGUAGCCGGCCGACACCGCUAAAUUGCGGGGACAUCCUACAGAAGGCUCCAGGCUACCGCCGCGUGCUGAAAAGCGUCCGCGGCACCAAGAAUAGCGCUCUUGGGUAUGGUAAAAACGCCUGGGGUAUCGGACGACCUGCAGCCAACCCCGCCAGCCCUAGAAGGGCCCAGGGGAGAGUUCACUGACUAAACAGCGGUGGGUCUUGCGGCGAGAGCCGUAGGGCUUAAGACAUAGUCGAUCUGGGCCCUGAAAAGGUGACCCUAAAGUAUUAUACUUAGCGGAGCUAGUAGCUGGUUACCGCCGAAGUUUCCCUCAGGAUAGCAGUGUU